AUGGGGAAACUGAAAGACCCAGACAUUCUACCACCACGGAGGAAUGACCUCACCCUGGGUGUUCCUUCUGCAGAAUACAGCUCAAUUGUGGGUCCCCAAAAGGCCCCCGAAGAAUUAGGGGGUGGUGUCAGGAACUGUGACCACUCGGUACAGCCCCUUCAAGUGGUAGAUGAAGAGGGUGAAGCAGGAAGGGAUUUGAUGGCUUGUGAAGGGAACGUGCUCUUCAGAGUGGCGCCACAGGAACAUCCUCGCGGCCCGAGGCGCGGUCGCAGCCUGGGAGCACUCGCCGCGGUGCUGUGGAAUUUUCUGGUUUUUUUUCACGCAACGUCAGGCGUCCUGCUGGCGCCCUCUCGCCACCGUGCCCUCCCGUCAGAAGCCCGGCUCCUAGCGGGGGAAGGCCGGGUGCUGGUCUGCCAGGAGCUGGGACUUGCGCCCCAUGGAGUGUCGGGAGUCUCCAGUGCCGCGCGUUCAACACCACAGGGCCAGGCUGUUUGCUCCCCAUCGGUCGCUGCCCCCAGCACCCCGGGUUAUUAAGGACUCAUUUGCUUGGAGCGGCAUCAUUACAAGGGUGUGGGGUACUACAUAUACUCCGUAUUUUUCUAUUUUCUAAAGGCUGCAGGCGCGAUACACAGUGCGCUUGAACGGUGGGGCCUCGUGCUAGCCGGAGGAGCGAGCAGGGGCCGGGCAGGGGCUGCUCAGCCAGGCGGUCCCCGCACGGCGGCCUCGGGAGGCCCUGCCGUCGUCCUUCACCCCCGGAGGCGAGUGCGGGGCGCUUCCCCUCCUCAGGGCCCUCAAACCGCAAGGGAGUUUCCGCUUCCCAGUCGAUGGUCGUCCUCUCCCAUUCCCGGCUGCAUCUCCAUUUACCCGUCGCCCAUUUCCUCUGCCCAUCCAGGCUCCUUGGCUCCGCUGGGGUCUCCGUUCCCUUCUCCCGGUCCCCCCCGCCAGGUCGCGGCUCCUUUGUCCAGGACUCAGCAGGGGCUUCACCCAAGGGCGCUGGUUUAGGCCGGAUCUGGGGUCCCUCGUCACUCCCAGGCUUCUUCCACUUCCGGAUUCUGGAGAACCGGGAAUCAAGCCCUGCGCGCGCCUCUCCUUCCUCCUUCGUGCUGAAAGCACACUUCAGGCACGCUUCCUGUCCGCCCAGGCAUCAGUUCUGACAGUGAGCUGAGAACAAGGAGUUUCUUUUUCUUCCCCAAAAGUUGCCUUUUGUAAGGACUAUGUCUGCACCAGGGCUUGAUACAUGUUGCUACUCCUGGGAGUAUGAGACUGGGAAGUUGACGGAAAUGUCAACAUUAGCUUUAAUGGUGAGGCCAAAGGGAGAAUGGACCCAGCAUCAAGCCUGAGUAGAGGAGAACGGGAGAGGGAGGACCAGAACCAGGGCCCCCCGUUCACUGCCUUGGGGUGUCUGAAUCCUGCCUUUGCUGUUGGUGAGCUCUAGGACUAUGGGUAAGUUGGUUAACUUUUUGAGCCUCAGUUUCCUGUUCUGUCAAGUAGGAAUACAACUCCCUAGCUCACAGAGUUGUGGUGAGGAUUAUGAACUAUUAUGCGUCUACAGUGUCCUCCCCGCAAGUGAAAAGGCUCAGUAAAUGGUAACUGUUAUCAUGGUCCAAUCUAAACUUCCGUGCUUGCCUUUCACCAAAUUGAUGUUACAGAAAUCAAAAGGUUCUUGUUUUUCCCACCUUGUUUGGAAUUAGGAAAAACUUUCCCUGCGCCGUUAAUGUUUUAUAGGUCUCUUCUCUCCAAGACAGAAAGGGAGGGUAACGGGGCUUAUUUUUUUCUCCCAGGACUCUUGAGGAAGGAUUCAGGAUGCGGCUGUGCCUCUGGGGAUAAAGGGUAUAACACUGGGGCAGGUCAGCUUCCUCGUUGGUACAGUGGGACUCUUAUACAGGCCCCUUUCUUUCUAGCACCAGAUACUGCUACACCAUCUCAUUGGCAUGGACCUAUAUGUGGCAUCAAGUCCAUCUCAUCGCUUUUGGUGAAAGUCAGCACAGUUUGUAAAGAUUCUCAUUGUGAGAAUGGGUAAACCAUCCCUUUUAUUAAAAAUCAAACCAGAGAUUCCUUUACCUAUCAGUACCUCCUGCUGCUAAAAAGCAGCAGCUAAAAAGCAGCAGGAGGUAUUGAUAAGGGAAGUCCUAUCUAAUUUACUGGUUUAGAGAAUGACUGUCCUCAUUUUAAGAGUUAAACAUUAACCCCAUUAACACCUCUGAGAAACCCUCCCAACAUGUUUAUCUCAUUGACAUCAUGGGGUUGGAGGUCACUGUAGAUAAGGAACUGGGACACCAAAAGGAGAAACUCUGGCCACCCUUGCACCCUGUUUCCAAUGCUGGUCCAGCAUCACCCACAGAUGCUAAGGAGCGCUGGAGACCUUACCAGGCCCUGUGAUUGGUCACCUUACUCUUCCAUGGACAGAGCAAUGAACUUAGAUUCCUGCUGGGAUCCUUUGAGGGCAAGCAUACCCUUCUUCCAGCUUGUACUGUGAACUCCGUUGCAGCCAUAAGGACUGUCUGUGACACUGAGCCCGAGAUGACUGGGCCCUGUGCUCCCUCCCGGCCCCACAAUCCUUGGCCUGCCACAGAGAACUGAGCUCUUUUAUUAGCACCAUGAAUGUGACUGAUACAGCUAGCCAUUCCCUCGUGCGAAUGACUCAGUUUAUUAAUGCUCUGCUAAAGAUGGCUUCUUUGCCUGCCAGCAGCCUUAAACAGUAUUUCAUUAAAACUGGCUUAAUUAUUUUGAGAAGACGGCCCAAUUAAAAGCUAUACACUCCCUCUAUGUAAGUGUUUUUACAUAGAGCUGUAUAUAUAAUACAUAUUUGUAAGUGUGUGUAUGUAUAUGUGUAUGUAUGUGUCUAUAAAUAUAUAGGCUUAGCAAUUUAAUUACAUGGGAUAAAUUGUUGGAAAAAAUACCCAGGAGCUGGUCCCCUUUCUGUUGCCAUAUUCAGAGUAGAGGCCACCCCUCUGCUCUGGGAGAGGCUGGUGUUGGUGGUCUCUCAAUGACUCUGCCGUGUAAAUCCCAACUGCACAGAGCCCUGCCCCAAUUUUAGGAGCCAGCAGCCUCUGGAGAGGCGGAUCCUGACCUCUGCUCUGCUCUUGUGAUGGCCUUUCCCUUCCCAGCAGGGUUGAGAUACUUGGGCUGGGAAAUGUUGUGGCAAAGUAUUUGCCAAAGCGCGGGAGAGACACAGACUUGGGGCUUUUGUUUCUGGAGCUGGCUGUCUAGCUUUCCUAAUGAGCAAAUAUGUUCUCUUUAAGGAAACAAACAAACAAAGCAGAAACACCCAUUCAUCUGGAUUUUAUUCAUUUGUUUUAAAUACAAACAAACAAAAGGAGAGUGGUUAUUUCUGCACCAACUAUUUCAAAUGCAAGUUACUCCAUUGCUCGGGGUGGUUGGAUGGUGCUUGUCACCAUAGGACCCACAGGGCUAGUUCCAACUGUUAUUUGGUAAGGCUUUUUUUCUUUCCAAAAUUCCCAGUGUUCCUUUAAGGCCCAUUUAGCUGCGGGUUUUGUUUAUUCUCCCGGCAAUCAGCAUUUAAAAUAAGACAAACAAGCAUUUUUCCUGGGCUGUGAUUCCCCCCAGCCAGCCUCCACCUGCACACCUGAAGCCAGCAUGUCCAAUCGAAUUUCUCUGUAACCCAUAUCCCCUUUAGAGACUUACCCCCUUCGUAUACCAGGCUGGAAAUAGAGAACUUAAGCAGGGCAAAUGUAAUUUUAAGAAUUGCUAAUGAUGCUAGAAAUCUGCAAUGCAAUUAGCAUCAUUGGAUUUGGCGCUCCUCCGAAGGCACAAAACUCCUUGUCAUAGCGCAGUGGCAGCAGCGGCAAGUGCCUCCGCAUGUGCCGGGCUGUCCGGGUAUGCUGGCAGCCGCUUUGCACUGAGAUGUGAGCAGUUGGUUAGGCUUCCUCUCUUUCUUUCUCACAGAUACUGACUUCUUUGUCUCUUCUCUGGGUUGCAGAGGGAUGGGUGUUUUCCAUUGAUUAUAACUUUAGCAUUUGACCCUCCAGUGCAGUCACCCUGUUUUUUAGAAAACUGAGACUCUCACUUUGUGAACUCCCUGUGCUCUCUGGGAUUUCAGUGCUGUAGUUCAACUACCAAUCCCCCUGUCCUGAACUCCAGUACUUCUGAUGCUAUUAAUUGGUACCUCAACAAUUGUGGGGGCCUUUCCAUCAUUGCCCACCAUAGGAUAUACUUUUCUUUCUCUCUCCCUCUUUUUUCUAAUUUCCUUGUCGUCUUCACUCUCCGUGGAGCCAGAGGUAGUAUGAAGAGUUAAAAAUAGGAAUAUAAAGAAAGCCAGAGGGAGAGAGGGAGUGAGAAAGAAAUAUUUUAAAAAGAGAGGAAAUGAAUUAUUGGUUUAAAAAUAAACCUUUACUUUUUCGCAGAAAAAUUAUUUUUGUUCUCUGGAAAAAUAACAUGGGCUAGGCAUGGGAAGCAUGUCAGCUGGCUAAAAGAUUGCAAAAUCCAGAAGCUGAUCCUGAUGGGUCUGUUCAGUUUAGCAAGGGUAUCUACUAGGGGAUCCUCUUUUGAAUACAGAGGCCCAAAUCAGAAGCUUGUAGAGGGGAGCUAUUCUUCCAAGAUUCCAGAUGUGUCUGUGAGACAAUACGUUACGGGGCAAAUUGAUUUCACCCUUGGGAAACCAGGGAGAUUUUCAAAGUUAUGUCUGCAAAGCCAGCUAAUGCAAUUCCCCAUUAGUGCAUUAAAGUGUGCCCUUAUUAAUUCAAACAUAAAGGCAACAAAAUAAGCUGUUAAAUUUAAAAUAUAAUACAUAUAUAAUGAGAAUGUGUGAAAGCCUUAUUCAGAUGAAAAUACAGGAGUGUUUGAACUACUGAGGUAUCUUUUGUAUUGAAUUAUGAGCAUAUGUAAUAGAUUUAAUUAUUAAUUUCCCCAUUGUUCUAUGCACACAGACAGGGUUCAAGGCACAGUCAUUCUCUGGCUUUCAUAGAUCUAAUUUGUAUAAUUAUUGCCUGAAUAAAAAAUUGCUCCAA